GAUGAAGAACGCAGCGAAAUGCGAUAAGUAGUGUGAAUUGCAGAAGUACCGUGAAUCAUCGAAUCUUUGAACGCAAAUUGCACUCUCUGGUAUUCCGGGGAGUAUGCCUGUUUGAGGGUCGCUUAACAAACCAUCGAUUUCGUUGCUUUUUUUUAAAAAGUAAUGUUUAUCGGAUUUGAGCCGUCUUUUUUUUUUAUAUUUAAGUGGCUUAAAAUUGAUUUUUUUGGUAUGAUCGAAGCGUAUUUUAUGAUCAAUUUUUGGUUAAAGAAACGCAUACGCGUACCGUUAUUUGUAUGAUGUAAUACGUUUGACUAUUGGAUUUAGUUCAUUCGUAUACGAUAUUUUUCAAUAUUUGACCUCAAAUCAGGUAAGAACACCCGCUGAACUUAAGCAUAUCAAUAAGCGGAGGA
rnacentral:misc_RNA from 1 species